GAGCGGACAGAUGGGAGCUUGCUCCCUGAUGUUAGCGGCGGACGGGUGANUAACACGUGGGUAACCUGCCUGUAAGACUGGGAUAACUCCGGGAAACCGGGGCUAAUACCGGAUGCUUGUUUGAACCGCAUGGUUCAAACAUAAAAGGUGGCUUCGGCUACCACUUACAGAUGGACCCGCGGCGCAUUAGCUAGUUGGUGAGGUAACGGCUCACCAAGGCAACGAUGCGUAGCCGACCUGAGAGGGUGAUCGGCCACACUGGGACUGAGACACGGCCCAGACUCCUACGGGAGGCAGCAGUAGGGAAUCUUCCGCAAUGGACGAAAGUCUGACGGAGCAACGCCGCGUGAGUGAUGAAGGUUUUCGGAUCGUAAAGCUCUGUUGUUAGGGAAGAACAAGUACCGUUCGAAUAGGGCGGUACCUUGACGGUACCUAACCAGAAAGCCACGGCUAACUACGUGCCAGCAGCCGCGGUAAUACGUAGGUGGCAAGCGUUGUCCGGAAUUAUUGGGCGUAAAGGGCUCGCAGGCGGUUUCUUAAGUCUGAUGUGAAAGCCCCCGGCUCAACCGGGGAGGGUCAUUGGAAACUGGGGAACUUGAGUGCAGAAGAGGAGAGUGGAAUUCCACGUGUAGCGGUGAAAUGCGUAGAGAUGUGGAGGAACACCAGUGGCGAAGGCGACUCUCUGGUCUGUAACUGACGCUGAGGAGCGAAAGCGUGGGGAGCGAACAGGAUUAGAUACCCUGGUAGUCCACGCCGUAAACGAUGAGUGCUAAGUGUUAGGGGGUUUCCGCCCCUUAGUGCUGCAGCUAACGCAUUAAGCACUCCGCCUGGGGAGUACGGUCGCAAGACUGAACUCAAAGGAAUUGACGGGGCCGCACAAGCGGUGGAGC
rnacentral:rRNA from 1 species